AUAUGUGUAAACCAAAAAGAGUGCAUUAUAUUUCCAUAGUGAAAUAGACUUCCCACUGUUCCAAAGGGCAUUCCUAAAAAUAAUCAGUCCCAAUCACUUGAUGUGAAAAUGUGAAAAUCGAAAUCACUACCAGUAAAAACGGAGUUUCUGAUGAAGAACGGCUACAUAAAACGAUCAAUGACAAAUUAAGAAUUAUUUCAAGCGAGGAUAACAUAGAGAACAAGCUCACAAAAUUUGAGUUAAUUCUAUACACUUAUAAUCAUAAAUCGGUUCAUAAUACUACAAAAAGAUCCCCAGCUGAUAUCUUCCUGUACGCCGGACUACCAGAUUAUAACACCCAACUGAAUAAGGUUAGGAAGAUCAAUCAUUUAAAUAACGAUAGAAUCGAAUUGAAGAAUUGAAGUAGACACACGCUACAAAAAUGCACCCCUAGUUAAAACAAAAACAACCAAUCCGUUCAAAAUAACAGGGGAAAUUCGGCAGAGUACCCGAAGAGAGUACUGGGAAUCUGGAGCUACAACAUGAUUAAGAUUAUAAUCUUACUAAUGUUCACCGUCCUACAGUCUACCGGAUAGAAUAUAGAGAUAGAUCCCAUCAACUCAAGGAAUAAAUAUCUCAUUUUCAAAACAGAUACCAUUAACAUACCCAUUAAUUAUGAAUAUCAUUAUUUAACAAGAACAGAUGAAACAUAUCAGAGUUUACUAGACCAGGCAACCCAAUUUAAUAACGUAAUCCAAGUUCAAUAUUUAGUCGAGACAUUGCAACGUGAAUUCAACGGCAUAAAAAUAGCCAAAAGAAACAAAAGAGGCCUUUAAAUGCAGUAGGCACAAUUUAUAAAUAUCUAUUUGGAACGUUAGAUCAUAAAGAUGAUAAAGUCGAACUAGAAGGGAAAAUAGACAAUCUGGCUAGCCACAGUGUUCAAGCUAACGAAUUAAACUUAAAAUUUCAAGCAGUAAAUUAAUUAGGCAUGCAGCACACCAAAACUUUCAAAUAAGUUUCAUAGAACCCAAUAUAUUGUUAACUUGGAAAUUACCACAAACCAUAUUAUACCAAGAUUGCCUAAACUAAGAAACAAAAGUAGAAGGCAACGCAAUAAUAAAAAUAAAUAAUUGCAGUGUACAAUUAAAUGAAUUCUUAAUAUCUAACUCAAUACCAGAAUUUGCACAAAGCAUAUACAUCAAAAAUAACGUAACAAGAAUUAAACAAUUGUCUUAUUUGCAAACCAAAGAAAUCGUAAUAGAAAAUACGCGAUUAAAUAAUGUAUUACAUGUAAGCUCAAUACUGCUAAUUGUCAUAAUCAUAAUGGCAUUAAGUUACAAAUUGUUUAAUCUAAGUAAAAUCAAUAAGCCUAAACCCGACUCCCACAUAGAAACAUCUUUAGACGAAAACGGGGAAUCCCCAGCGUGCACAGUUUUAGAUGCACCUGAACUAUAUCCAAGGAUAAUCGCCUGAGAACAGGCUUAAAUCGAACGAUGGGGAAGUGACAUAUCUAUAGUCCAUGCUCCGGAUACCCUUAUCUAUGUCUGUUACCCUGCACCCACAUACUAUAAACAAUCCAACACCCUCAGCAUCGAAUCUCAUAAACAUCCCACGCUCGAAGUGGACCACUUGUAGCCGAUAGCCGGCAAUGUAAACAAACACCCUAAGCUAGGAGUCGAACAUAAAACAAUAGAUGCCGCGUAUCCAGCCGCACUA